rnacentral:pre_miRNA from 1 species
CAUGCACAGGCAAUGGCACUGGAAGAAUUCACGGGUUUCUUACUAUUCCCGUGGUCUCUUAGUGGCAUCACUAGUGCUGG